GACGAACGCUGGCGGCGUGCUUAACACAUGCAAGUCGAACGGAAAGGCCCCUUUGGGGGUACUCGAGUGGCGAACGGGUGAGUAACACGUGAGUAACCUGCCCUUGACUUCGGGAUAACUUCAGGAAACUGGGGCUAAUACCGGAUAGGAAUCCUUGCUGCAUGGUUGGGGUUGGAAAGCUUCGGCGGUUUUGGAUGGACUCGCGGCUUAUCAGCUUGUUGGUGGGGUAGUGGCUUACCAAGGCUUUGACGGGUAGCCGGCCUGAGAGGGCGACCGGCCACAUUGGGACUGCGGUACGGCCCAGACUCCUACGGGAGGCAGCAGUGGGGAAUAUUGCACAAUGAGCGGAAGCCUGAUGCAGCAACGCCGCGGGCGGGACGACGGCCUUCGGGUUGGAAACCGCUUUCAGCAGGGGCGAAGCUUGUGGUGACGGUACCUGCAGAAGAAGCACCGGCUAACUACGUG
rnacentral:rRNA from 1 species